rnacentral:rRNA from 1 species
CUAACAAGGAUUCCCCCUAGUAGCGGCGAGCGAAGCGGGAAGAGCUCAAAUUUAUAAUCUGGCACCUUCGGUGUCCGAGUUGUAAUCUCUAGAAAUGUUUUCCGCGUUGGACCGCACACAAGUCUGUUGGAAUACAGCGGCAUAGUGGUGAGACCCCCGUAUAUGGUGCGGACGCCCAGCGCUUUGUGAUACAUUUUCGAAGAGUCGAGUUGUUUGGGAAUGCAGCUCAAAUUGGGUGGUAAAUUCCAUCUAAAGCUAAAUAUUGGCGAGAGACCGAUAGCGAACAAGUACCGUGAGGGAAAGAUGAAAAGCACUUUGGAAAGAGAGUUAACAGUACGUGAAAUUGUUGGAAGGGAAACGCUUGAAGUCAGACUUGCUUGCCGAGCAAUCGGUUUGCAGGCCAGCAUCAGUUUUCCGGGAUGGAUAAUGGUAGAGAGAAGGUAGCAGUUUCGGCUGUGUUAUAGCUCUCUGCUGGAUACAUCUUGGGGGACUGAGGAACGCAGUGUGCCUUUUGGCGGGGGUUUCGACCUCUUCACACUUAGGAUGCUGGUGGAAUGGCUUUAAACGACCCGUCUUGAAACACGGACCAAGGAGUCUAACAUGCUUGCGAGUAUUUGGGUGUCAAACCCGGAUGCGUAAUGAAAGUGAAUGGAGGUGGGAACCGCAAGGUGCACCAUCGACCGAUCUGGAUUUUUAAUGAUGGAUUUGAGUAAGAGCACGUAUGUUGGGACCCGAAAGAUGGUGAACUAUGCCUGAAUAGGGCGAAGCCAGAGGAAACUCUGGUGGAGGCUCGUAGCGGUUACUGACGUGCAAAUCGCUCGUCAA